ensembl:lncRNA
GACAGAUGGGGCUGCAGAACUUGACUCUUGCUGGAAGCCUCAAGUUCAUCAGAAACAGUCGUGGCCCAUGUCUUUGAGGUUUGCUUCUAAGGUUAAGGUUCCAUAGCAAGUGGAGAAACCUUCAAUUGCCUUAGUGGAGUAAGAAGGACUAAGCAAAUCUCUAGUACAGAACCUUGCUGGGCUGAGAAGGAACCUCUCCUGCAGCCAAAGAGGGAGUAAGCAGAGGUCCCAGACCUCAGACCUGCCCUCUCACACCAGACCUUCUCUUCUGAGAAAAAGAGGAACCACCUAUUGCAAAUGGGCAGCAAAGAAUCAACUUUGGGGAGCAACAAGGCUGCAGGUCUUUUCCCUACGCGAGUAUCGAGAAGAGGGCGGAGGCCGUCUUGGAGUGCGUGAGAGAAGGGCCAGCCUGGAGGGGCGUCAGCACACGGAGAGGAAGUGACGCAAUGGCUUUCUUUGUUUCCCGUGAUUCCCGCUUCUUCACACCACUGGUUUCCUGCAUUUUCCUACUGGGAGGGUGCCACACUUGGUAUGACUAGGAUCUUUGACAUCAUUUGAAACACUUGAUAUUUGACUUUCCUGCCCUACAGCAAUAAAAUAUGGAGGGGAGGGGAGGAAUAUUGGGAUGAAACGGUGACAAAGUGACACACAACAGAUACAUUUGGCUCUCUAACAUUCAUGGACUGAUGCUGAAGCUGAAGCUCCAAUACUCUGGCCACUUGAUGUGAAGAACUGACUCAUUAGAAAAGACCUUCUUGCUGGGAAAGAUUGAAGGCAGGAGGAGAAGAGGACGACAGGGGAUGAGAUGGUUGGAUGGCAUCACUUACUCGAUGGACAUGAGUUUGAGAAACUCCGGGAGUUGGUGAUGGUCAGGGAAGCCUGGUGUGCUGCAGUCCAUGGGGUCACAGUCGGAAACGACUGAGUGACUGAACUGAACUGAACAGUCUUGGGUUUGCAUCAAAUGCAGUGAAGUCUCUAACUAGAGCUAAUCAAGUGGAACUAACAGAGUGUCGUUUGUGUACCAGGCUCCCUAGAUCCCAUUGACACUGCCCAUGAUCCCAGGGCCACACAUCUCCCUGGGCGGGUAGGGGUGGGGAUAGGUAGUUCCAGAUACUGAGAUCCAGCCAGCUCUGAGCUUGAGGCAACCUUACCUCUGCACCCAGCCAGCUGCUCAGAUGUGAUUGUUCUGUGCACUUGUCCUGACUUGUGAAAGGUUGAGAAGGAGUUCUCUAGGCAAUCCUUUGAAUUAAAUAUGAACAAUCCCAUUUUAUAAACUCUGACUUUGGAGGCAGGGCACUUAAAAACUGGACAUUGCCUUCUUUUCACUGCAUAGGUAUUGAACUGAUACAUAAAUGACAAGAUCCGUGAAGGAAGGAAAAUUAUUAAAGUUAAAACAAUGACAUAUAGAUUGUUUAAAGAUAUCUGGUCACAAAUUACAAUGCAUUUAAGCUAAUCUGUGUAUGAAAAAACCUCUUUAAAUCAAUAUGGAGAAGGGCAAUCACCAAGUGGGGGCUGCAGCAAUGUUUACACAGUGAUGAAAGCCACAGAGUGGAGCAUAGUGAUACCCUGCAGAUAUUGCCAUCUGGGGCAAGUUCUCUACCGUUGUAUCCAUUCCUUUAUAUAAAUGUGGGUAUUUAUAGUAUCCUGGGAGUUUUGAAUGAGAUUGUGUAGGUAAAUGCUUAGCACAACAUACACACAUAAUAAGCAUCUAAAGGUA